rnacentral:rRNA from 1 species
GAUGAACGCUGGCGGCGUGCUUAACACAUGCAAGUCGAGCGAGUGAGUUCUUCGGAACGAUCUAGCGGCGGACGGGUGAGUAACACGUGGGCAACCUGCCUCAUAGAGGGGGAUAGCCUCCUGAAAGGGAGAUUAAUACCGCAUAAAAUUAUCGAGUGGCAUCACAUGAUAAUCAAAGGAGUAAUCCGCUAUGAGAUGGGCCCGCGGCGCAUUAGCUAGUUGGUGAGGUAACGGCUCACCAAGGCGACGAUGCGUAGCCGACCUGAGAGGGUGAUCGGCCACAUUGGGACUGAGACACGGCCCAGACUCCUACGGGAGGCAGCAGUGGGGAAUAUUGCACAAUGGGGGAAACCCUGAUGCAGCAACGCCGCGUGAGUGAUGAAGGUCUUCGGAUUGUAAAGCUCUGUCUUUGGGGACGAUAAUGACGGUACCCAAGGAGGAAGCCACGGCUAACUACGUGCCAGCAGCCGCAGUAA